UAAAAAAAAAAAAGCAAAGAGAAACUUUUCAACUAUCACUACUGCCAUUUUUAAUCUUUUCUUCAUGUAGAGACUCAAAAUUUCUUUGUUUCUUCUAUUAUUCUCUCUCUUGUCUGUUCAUUUUCUAUCUCUCUAAACCAAGACCAUGUCAGCACUAUAGCAGCAAAAACAUCCUUAUUUCUUGUUAAAGCACCAUUCUUGUUUCCUUAAGUUGUGUAAUCAGAACUUGUAACUUGUUUGUUGCAAGAAUCUGUCACUCCACCGACACCCAUGGCUACUAAAUCAAAGUAAAUAUUUUUGGAUUGCUAGAUAUACGUAUUCAAACUUGGGUUUAGUCAUAUUAUUUGGAGUUUUCAUGGAAAGAUAUUACAAGCUUUGACAUCCAGGUAGAUCUGGGUACUAGCAGUCGAGGUUGAUCUGAUUCCUACCUUUCAGUACUGAUUCAGAGCAGGGUGAGCUUGUUGUCGUCCAAGGCUGAUCCUCCUCUAUCUACUCUUGUUAGUCUUUUGCACUCGAGACUACUUGUGUAUAUUGUGUACAUUUUAGAUUUUUGUCUAGUACUCUGGGUACCUACUAGUAGUGGCUCUAAUACCGACCUUACCAGGUCUUGGGAGGGAUUCUUUUAUGUAUUUGGUAAUUUUCCUUCCCUCGUUUUAGUAUAUGAGAUAUGGUUACUUUCUGUUUGUUACUUUUUAUUACUACUGCAAUCAUAAUACACGAUCUUUUCUGAUUUC